rnacentral:rRNA from 1 species
AAAUUGAAGAGUUUGAUCAUGGCUCAGAUUGAACGCUGGCGGCAGGCCUAACACAUGCAAGUCGAACGGUAACAGGAAGCAGCUUGCUGCUUCGCUGACGAGUGGCGGACGGGUGAGUAAUGUCUGGGAAGCUGCCUGAUGGAGGGGGAUAACUACUGGAAACGGUGGCUAAUACCGCAUAACGUCGCAAGACCAAAGAGGGGGACCUUCGGGCCUCUUGCCAUCAGAUGUGCCCAGAUGGGAUUAGCUUGUUGGUGAGGUAACGGCUCACCAAGGCGACGAUCCCUAGCUGGUCUGAGAGGAUGACCAGCCACACUGGAACUGAGACACGGUCCAGACUCCUACGGGAGGCAGCAGUGGGGAAUAUUGCACAAUGGGCGCAAGCCUGAUGCAGCCAUGCCGCGUGUAUGAAGAAGGCCUUCGGGUUGUAAAGUACUUUCAGCGGGGAGGAAGGUGUUGUGGUUAAUAACCGCAGCAAUUGACGUUACCCGCAGAAGAAGCACCGG